rnacentral:rRNA from 1 species
CGAUACUGUUGGACUAGAGGGCAGCAAGAGGAGGUGGAAUUCCCGGUGUAGUGGUGAUAUGCGUAGAUAUCGGGAGGAACACCUGUGGCGAAAGCGGUCUUCUGGGCUGUUACUGACGCUGAGACCCGAAGGCGUGGGGAGCGAACAGGAUUAGAUACCCUGGUAGUCCACGCAGUAAAACGACGGACACUAGGUAUGGGGCGGUAUCGACCCCCUCCGUGCUGAAGUUAACGCAUUAAGUGUCCCGCCCGGGGAGUACGGUCGCAAGACUAAAACUCAAAGGAAUUGACGGGGGCCCGCACAAGCAGCGGAGCGUGUGGUUUAAUUCGAUGCAACACGAAGAACCUUACCAAGGCUUGACAUGUCGGAAGUAGCGACCCGAAAGGUGAGCGACCUGUUAAAUCAGGAGCCGUCACAGGUGCUGCAUGGCUGUCGUCAGCUCGUGCCGUGAGGUGUUAGGUUAAGUCCUGUAACGAGCGCAACCCUUGUUGCCAGUUAAUUUCUCUGGCGAGACUGCCCUGCAAAACGGGGAGGAAGGUGGGGAUGACGUCAAGUCAGCAUGGCCCUUAUGCCUUGGGCUACACACACGCUACAAUGGGUAGUACAAUGGGUAGCAAUGGAGCGAUCCGGAGCUAAUCCAGCAAAACUAUCCUCAGUUCGGAUCGCAGGCUGCAAUUUGCCUGCAUGAAGCUGGAGUUGCUAGUAACCGCAGGUCAGCAUACUGCGGUGAAUACGUUCUCGGGCCUUGUACACACCGCCCGUCACGUCAUGAAAGUCGGAAACGCCUAAAGUCGAUGGGCCAACCCCGAUUUAUCGGGGAGGUAGUCGCCUAGGGCGGAGCCGGUGAUUGGGACG